rnacentral:rRNA from 1 species
CAGCAGCCACGGUAACACGGAGGGUGCAAGCGUUAUCCGGAUUUAUUGGGUUUAAAGGGUCCGUAGGCGGACUUAUAAGUCAGUGGUGAAAGCCUGUCGCUUAACGAUAGAACUGCCAUUGAUACUGUAAGUCUUGAGUAUAUUUGAGGUAGCUGGAAUAAGUAGUGUAGCGGUGAAAUGCAUAGAUAUUACUUAGAACACCAAUUGCGAAGGCAGGUUACCAAGAUAUAACUGACGCUGAGGGACGAAAGCGUGGGUAGCGAACAGGAUUAGAUACCCCUGUAGUCCCUGUCUCUUAUAC